UACGAAGGGUGCAAGCGUUAAUCGGAAUUACUGGGCGUAAAGCGUGCGUAGGCGGUUUGUUAAGUCUGUUGUGAAAGCCCUGGGCUCAACCUGGGAAUGGCAAUGGAUACUGGCAAGCUAGAGUCAGGUAGAGGGUGGUGGAAUUCCCGGUGUAGCGGUGAAAUGCGUAGAUAUCUGGAGGAAUACCGGUGGCGAAGGCGGCAUCCUGGACCGACAUUGACGCUGAUGAGCGAAAGCUAGGGGAGCAAACGGG
rnacentral:rRNA from 1 species